GAUGAACGCUAGCUACAGGCUUAACACAUGCAAGUCGAGGGGAAACGACAUUGAAGCUUGCUUCGAUGGGCGUCGACCGGCGCACGGGUGAGUAACGCGUAUCCAACCUGCCUCUGACUAAGGGAUAACCCGGCGAAAGUCGGACUAAUACCUUAUGAGGUUUUCUGCAGACAUCUAACGAAAACGAAAGAUUUAUCGGUCAGCGAUGGGGAUGCGUCUGAUUAGCUUGUUGGCGGGGUAACGGCCCACCAAGGCGACGAUCAGUAGGGGUUCUGAGAGGAAGGUCCCCCACAUUGGAACUGAGACACGGUCCAAACUCCUACGGGAGGCAGCAGUGAGGAAUAUUGGUCAAUGGGCGAGAGCCUGAACCAGCCAAGUAGCGUGCAGGAUGACGGCCCUAUGGGUUGUAAACUGCUUUUAUGUGGGGAUAAAGUGAGCUACGUGUAGUUUAUUGCAGUACCACAUGAAUAAGGCCGCA
rnacentral:rRNA from 1 species